AGCAGCUGAUUUCUUCUGGCUUUAUACACACUAAGCUUAUUGUGACUUUGCAACACUGCCUGCGAUCCUUAUAUAGAUCUUAUACAGAUAUUUUGGGAAAUCUACAUGAUUCCUUCCUUGAAUUAACACUGCAGCUGGAUUGCUCAUUGAUGUCCCUGGUCUUUAACCCCAUAAACCGUUAUAUAUGUAAGUCAUUUAUGCUUUAUGGUCUCACAGUCAUUACUGCUAAACUAAGUUAACCAAUAUUUUGGUCAUUAUGUCUUAAAUACAUAUAUAUCUCACAGAUAAUAAUAUGUUAACCCCUAGCCAUCCCUAUUGCUUUGGCUAUGGUGUGUUUUUUUUUUUUUUUUCCCUCUGUCUCACUUACAUGUUAACCCUUAUAUGACUGUCCUUUUGUGACCAUUUUCAAACUUUUCCUGCUCAUUUGCAGGAUCAUGCACAUGACCAUUUUCACCUCGGCGGUUUUCUGUGUUUGUCGCUAGUUGUGGGCAACUCGUGGUUGCAUAUUUUGACUGGAUAUCGCUCCCUCCCCUGAAGAAGCGGAAGUCCGCGAAACAUGUAGGGUAUAUGCGAUUUCCUUUUCCAGU